UGUCAGAUAUAGAGGGCUUUUGAUGUUGGUUCUUUAUCUUGUGUGGAUUUUUGUGCAGUGGGCCUUUCAUAUGUAUAACAUGGAAUAGUGUGUUUUACUGAGAAUGCAGGCAAGGUAAAUAUCUAAUGCAAUGUGCUAAAUGAUGUGGAUAUGUGGAUAUACAACCAUUUGUGAGUUUUGUGCUUUUAUUUAGGUAUUCCUGAGUGCAGAAGAGCAAAUAAAAAAUUGUAACUGGUAGCUAAAUUUAUUUGAACUCACUGUUUCAUAGUAGCAGGUACAGAUAGCAGGAGGUUUAUGAUUGUUUUCCUUAGAAACUCCCAAAUUCAGAUAAGAUAAAAUAUUUUCAUGGUCUCUGUUGACCAGGACUUGGGAGCGUUAGGCUAAACUUUGACUUUGCAACCAGGCAAUUGGAUUUAUGGGCAUGACGCAAUCUUUUAUUUUCCACUUGUGAAAUGGGUGAAACCACUGAGACCAAUGGCUGAUCAGCCAUAAGUGAGUCUGCCACGCAUCCCCAAAUGGAUCAGAUGACCUCUUGGGGUGUUUGGCAGUCUUAUUUUCUGAUUGCUUUUCCCUGCCUUUUUCCAUUUAAAAUGCAGUGCAUCUGAUUAGUCAUAGCAAUGGGCGUAUCUUAUCCUGUAUGUACUCAGUCUCAACACAGUGACAUCUAGUGCCAGCAAGGGGCUCCCAGCAUUAUUGCAGUACAAAUAAACAAAAAAUACAGCCUUGGUGUGAGUUGGUUAUUACUGCUCAAAAACAAUACAGCAGAUAUUUUUUAUCUCCCAGGAAAAAGUUUUCACUGAGACAAAGAGAGAAUUAUCACUUCAUGAAUAAACAACUGCAUAGAUUUUUCAGACAAAAAAAAGCAGAAAGAGCUUUCCAGGAAUAGUAUAAUUCCUUUUGUUAAGUUGCUCUAAAGGACACUGUGCUCCUUGCCAUUUUACCACAAAAAUAUAUUUCUCCAUCUGUGAGGAAAUUUGUUUUCCAACUUGGUGAACUAUGGUGUGGUUUUAGAGCUGUCAUGAAUCUUGUGCAAGGAACAUGGGAACGGUUCUGAUAUAUGACAUAUGUAGUGCAACUACUAUGAUGAAAACCAUUCAAGGAACUCAUAUUUUUUCUUUCUCCUCUGCUAUGUUCAGAGAACCCUUCACUGUGUCAUCAGUGUGGAGUUACAGAGCUCCAAAACUGCAUGUCAGAAAACUCAGAAAACAUCACUGGUUCCAGGUCAUCCCUCAUGUAACUCCAUGGAUUUGGAUGAGAUUAUGCCAGGAGUAAACUGAGCCCAGUGAUCUUCACUGAGCCUGCUUGACUUCAUGAGAUUCAACAUGAGGAUUUGUAAUGUUAAACUGUCAGCAGAGGCCAAAGAAUUCUGACCUAGUUCUGUCAGGUUCAGAGCAAUACUGUCCACAAAGCCUUAGCCUGGUACAGGCGGAGCCCAGGAUGUCAGGGAGCAAAGCCAGGCAGAAGGGUUGCAAGGACAGCUGACAAAUCCCACAAGCAGCACAAAAUUUCCACUUGGGGGUGAUACCUGGUGAUGAGGAGGAGAGCACGUCUCUGACUCUACCCCGGCUCUCUUCUCUCCUGCUGCUGUUUUGUCAGGUUAAGACACAGAGGUGUCAACGCUGUGUCAGAUCAGAGAUGAAUCUGGCUGCUCAUCCUGCAUUUGACAGUGGUCAAUAGCAGCGAUAGAAGAGCGUAAGAUGCCUGCAGCCAUACAGCCUCCUUGGGUUCAAAACCCUGAAAGACAUAAGUAUCUUUUGAGAAGACAGAAAGAGAGACUUGGGGCUUUUCAGCCUGCAGAAGAGAAGGCUCUGGGGAGACCUUAGGGCAGCCUUUCAGUACCUAAAGGAGCCUACAAAAAAUCUGAGGAGGGACCUUUCACAAGGGCACAUAGUGACAGCAAAAGGGAGAAUGGCUUUAAAGUGAAAGAGAGUAGGUUUAGAUCAGACUUAAGGAAAAAAUCUUUACUGUGAAAGUGGUAAGAGACUGGCACAGGUUGCCUAGAGAACUUGUGGAGGCCCCAUCCCUGGAAGUGUUCAAGAACAGCUUGGAUGGGGCUUUAAACAGCCUGAUCUACUGGAAGGUGUCCCUGUCCAUGGCAAGAGGAUUGGAACUGGAUGGUCUUUAAGGUACCCUCCAACCCAAUCCAUUCUGUGACUUUGUGAUGAUCCAGAGGCUGUGGGAAUGUGGAAAUGAAAUAACUGGAAUGUGAACCUGUUUCUUCUUACAAAAGAAAUGGGUUAUGGCCGACAUAGUCAAACUAUUACAGAGCUUGCUCUCUGCUUGCUCCUGUGGCAGAGCUUUCUACUGCUGGUAUUGUCUGCAAAAUUAACAUGGUGAACAGGACAGAGGAAUCCAUGAGGGGACCUACAUUACAGAAUCAUAGAAUAUCCUGACUUGGAAGGGACCCACAAAAAUCAUCAGUCCAACUCCUGGCCCUCCACAGGAGAGCCCCAAGAACCUGAGAGUGUUUGAAGUCCACUCUGGCAGGCACCAGGGGGAAGGCAUGUUCUCACUUGAGAGUGUGUCAGGACAAUACUUUGGAUUAAGGGAAGUUAAACUUUGCAAUGUCCUACUUGUGAAAGUUCAUAGCAAUACAAUUGUCAUUUUAGCAAAAUCAGAGCUAAACAGACCUUCACUGAAUGUGGGCUACUUUCAGGCAAAAAUCUCUCUAUUCUUCCUAUUUUCUUUUCUUUUUAAGAACAUUAUGUGGACCUGCUUGAAUCUGAAUAUACUAAUUGCAUUAUUUAUGCUGCAUUUGAUAAAGUAAUUGAAAUAAAUUGGAGGGUUAAUGAUGACUCACUGUUUUGGUGAACCCCCAUGGUAUAAACAGCAACAACAGGGAAUUAGGCUGUUUCACAAGAACAUUUUCUGAAGUUAUGGUCUUUGAUCAGUUCUCCUAAGUAAAUUGACACUGCACUGAUGGUCAUAAAAUCAAUGUGAGGUGACAGAAACUGGGUUGCUGUUUUUGUGGAACAAGAGCAUAUCCUCUGUGCACCAUACACAUUUUUUUUCUCUCCUGUGACCUUUUUAAAAUCUGUUGGCAGGGAUAAAAAAUCAUAUUCACACACAAUAUUUCCCUCAAAAUGGGAUUGUAACGUAGUCCCUUUCCAUAGCUGUGGCUCAUCUCUUGACCUGCAGCGUCCCACGUAAUCUAAUUCACUCCUUCUCUUGCUUGAUGCCCCAGAGACAUCUGCUGCAGCUCUGAGGGGCCCAGGGUGAAUCUCUGCUCAGAUAUCUCAGUGCCAUGUACUCCCUAAGCACCUCUGUCUUGGGAAGAUUGUGACUUCCUUGCCUGCAGGGGUAGCCACAGAACAGCAAAAGAAAAGGCCACCUCUCCCUGCUUCCAAAGCUGUCAUCCCCCAGCACUUGUGUCUGCUCAGCCGUGCUGCAGCGUGUGACUAAUAGCAGUGGGCUGCUGCUCGGCGCUGCGCAUCAGGGCAGAGCUGAGCCCUCCCCUGCCAUGCCUGGGAGCAGCACAGUGCUAAAGGUGCUCUAAACAUUUCCUAUGAUAUUAUCAACCUAUCCUGCAAACCACAGUGAAUGCAGAAAUGAGGGAAAUGCACUAAAUACACACUGCUGCUGUCUGCUUUAAGGAUAACCGGGUUGCUGGAGGUAGGAAAAAGGUAUCAAAACAAAGCUUUGGCUCUCAGUGGAUGUGAUGUGUACUGUUGGAAGUAAAAGCACUGAUAAUCAGGAAACUAUUCUGCUGCAUCAAUAUGCUUGACAAGCUGAAAAAUAGCUACAAAAUUUCAUGAAUAUUUCUGUGUAAAUUGCAUUUAAACUAAUGCUGGUGCUUCCCCUUGUAGAUUACGAAUUAGCAACUAUUCUUCUGUUAAUGUAAAUUUAACUUGUUGUUGUUGUUCUCUGCUUUUGUACCAGCUCUACUCCAGUAGAAACUGAAGUGCAAACUUCUCAAAGCGUCCAGAUGGCAACAAUAAUUAUUAUCUUUAGCUACCAUGAUUAUGUUGUCCAAUCUGUGAUAUUGUAAAUCAGUUUUCAGAUGGUCACAGGAGUUGUAGCAAGUUUGUGAAAAGCAUUGCUCAUUAUAUGUUUGUUCAGAAGGAUUGAACCAGAGCACUACAACUCUUUCAACAGAAGUAAAUCAGUGUGGAAGUUUAGAGCUAAAAGGGACUCUGAGUGUGGAGAGACCAGUGUGGUGGGAUGCACACAGUGAGGAAUCCACCAGUCAUGCAGCACAGAGUCCAGGUUUCUCUGAAAUCCACACUCCCAAAGAGAGUUCAGUCAAGGGCUGUGAUAUUUUCUCUUACUGGAAUCAAAGUGUAAAAUGAGAGAAGUCUUUUCUUUGGGCCAAGGCAAAAGCAUGACAUUCAGCUGUAGCACCACUGAUAUUCAGCACCACUGAAGUGAGGGUUUAGCCCUAGUGAAAUUAAUGAGAAUUUCAUGUUUUAAUUACAAGCUUGCAUAGGUUUUGCCCUUCAGAGUUUAUUUUCCCCCUUAACCUAUUUCUAUCCAAUCUGUCAUCUUUUCUUAAUAAUAUUCUGAGGCCAUAUUUUUUUUUUCUUGCUGAAAAUAUUAUCUCUAAGUGUUUCAUAUUUCCAGGGUAAUGGUGACAUUGAAAUGAAAGGAAUGACACACUGAUUUUUAGCAAAGCUUUUAUAAAUUGUCUUUUUAGAUUUAUAAUGUGUCAUUUGAUUUACAGCACUCCUGUUUUUGUGGAUGCUGCUAUCUGUUCACAUUUCUACAAUAGCCACCCCCCCUUUUUUUUGACUUCUCAAAGGCUAAAAUAACACAUAUUUACUCUGAUACUUUUAAAUUUGGAUAACUUGAUGGUCACAAUUGCUGACUCUUAAUAAGAACAGAGCUUGUUUUCCAAGAUAUUAUUUAUCUUGAGCCCCUGACUUGUUAAUCUUACAACUACUAUGGGAAAAAAAUUACUGUUAAAAUUACUGUUAAAUUUUAAAGGUUCCUUACUUACUCUGACAAAAAAAUCUGUUUUUGGUGCUCUCAGAAUUGCUCCUGGGUUUGAUGUAUUUUAGAUUUAUAAGGUCUCCAGAAUUUUUUCCUGAAGAUUAUCAGUAGUCAAAGGUGCUAACCUUCUAUUUUCUCAAGGCGUGAAGACUGAAUUUUUUUCUAUAAUGAACUCACUGUAAUAUCUUAAUUGGAGGGAGUUCAAGGAAUUUUCUCUCACAAUCCUUCUGGCUGUACAUUUAUGGCAAUUAAGAGUCUAUUUAUGGUGCAGAGCAUCUUUUCCCAUGCUGAAGUAUAGGAAUGCUGUCCAAGUGAGUGCCUCUUCCUGCCUGUGUGCAUUACUGGGGUCUGGUCUUGCCACCAUCAAGGGUAUAUUAAUAGAUUAUGUUUUCUUUCCUGCUAAAAUGAGGAAAUAUGAUGACUCAGAUAACCAUUACAAAUUCGCAGGAGGCCCUUCAGCUUCCACAAAGUUCCAGUUUGCCUUUUGUCCAUCACUGGCCAAUACUUGUCAGUGGAAAACUUGUAUUCUUAACUUACCAUGUCAUUACCUGCCCAGGCCCAUGCUGCUCUGUGAGAAAGAUGCUCCCUUUCCUUCAUGGUACCCAUGAAACUUAUGAAUAAAGUUUCAGAGAAAGGCACAGGACUAUUUUCAAAGACUGGUAGGAGAAGGAAUGUAGUGCUUUGUUGUUUCCCAGUUAGUGGGCAAUUGUUUUCAACAGUAGAGAAAUAUGGAUGUACAAGUAUAGCAGGAAUAUAUUAGAGCAGUAUUACAAAAAGGAUUACUAUGUUUAGAAACAGAUAUACAGAACUAUUUGAAAACCAUAAAAAUAUUUCUGUAUUGAAUUAACUCUAAGGUCAGGUCUGUUUCAGGUGACGAACUGCCAGAUGUCAGUCUUAUGGCAAAAUCCUCAGGUCAGCUGUUGCCUUUAUUGUCCAGGAACAAGCAGCAUGGUGAUUUCUGCUGUGAUUUGGGAGCAUGUAUGUCUUGAGCAGAUUUCACGUGGAGAUGAAAACAAAGAUGAACAAGAUGCUUCAGACACUUCAAGUGCUUCAGCACUGCUGAGGGAAAGGAAGAAUAAAUGCUGCUUGAGCUAAGAAAAGAAAAGGAGAAAAAUCUAUUUCAUAUUAUCUUGAGACUGUUGUCUAAAACAGCUUACAUGUAAGGCCUGUCUUGUAAAGAUAUAUAGCAACAUCUGUUUUUGCAAAGUCUUUGACUAUAGACAAAGCAGAAACCUGCUACCUGUAUGACAACUGGACUUCAGGUACAAAAUAGCAAGGUUUUCCAGACCAUAUCAGGCACUUUACCAGUUACUUUUCUGGCAAGAAUGAUGAAGAAAGAUGCAGCAUAGAUUUGCUGUUGAAGAUGAUAUUUUGCCUAACUUUAUGCCUUGAAUCUUUUACUGGAAUCCUCUGAUUUAGGAACAUAGUGGCUUCUCUUGAGAUGUUGGCUGCUGCUCUUAUCCCUCCCAGCUGUCCUCUUAUCUCUUUUGCCAGGCUAGGUAGAAUCAGUGAAGGUGAUUUUAGAAAGCCAUAAUGUUGGCUGUGGCGUUUGCAAGUCUUUUUCAUGAGUAUUAGAGCUGUCCAUAUGCUGAGUGGAGAGGAGAGGGUAGAAAUCUCCAAGCCUUCUCAGAUACCCUAAGAGAUAAGAUCACUGAAAUACUCAAUGAUAAAUGCUGUUUGCGUACUGCUUUAAAGAUGCUGUGGCUAUUCAGUUUGCUUCUACUUUUCUCUAAUUAUCUUUAAAUUUUAAUUCUGUAUUUCUAUUUAUUUUUUGAGGCAGAGAAACACAAGAAUUCCGUGGCGAAAAUAAAACCUGGAAGGAGAAAACACCUGUUCGUGAAGGGCCAGAGGUAUCUUGUGCUCCUGCCAGGGUGCUAAGGAUAUACUAAGUGCAAAGUUUGCCAGCUGGCAAACUCAGAAUUUUCUUGAAGGAAGGAAAAACAUCCUCUGUAAGACAAAACCCUUUAGACAAUUCUUUUUCUCCCCACUUCACCUAGAGAAAAGCAACUGAGGUGCGUAAUGGUAAAGUCUGACACAGCUGAGAGCAAGCCUGUGCACAGUGAUUUGAGGGAAGACACAAGGGCCAGGAUUGUCUUUUAAUUUGUCCAUUGCCUGAAGGAUGAAAGAAAACUGCUGUCAGUCACAAAGUGCAAAGGAAGAUAUUCUAGUGUGCUUAGGACUGCAAAAGGGACUCUUUUAUCCCUUCAGUGAUCUGUGAGUAAUUUCUGAAAUAAAACCUUCAAGUCACCUGCAAAGCCAGUUUCAGAGAGAACAGUAACAAAUAUUUAUUCUAGGAGUUCUGGAAGAAAAAAAGAAAAAAGAAUAAAAAAGAAAAAAACCCCAUCCCUGCCCUUUAUUUUUUCUGGUAUUAUCUGCUGUACAAAUGUCAUUAAGUGACAUUUUUCUCCUACAGGCCAUCCAGUAUAUAGCAGGAUUAUUCUUCCUUCUCUCUUCCACUGAAAAACAGAUAGUGGCUGACAGUUAAUGAGGGGGACUCUAAUCUGACAGCACUAUGAAAGCUACUGACAGAAAAGAUCUUGAUAGUGGCAUAAGAAAUUCUUUCUAUCUCAAACUACCAUUAAGGUGCUGUCUGCAGCUGGGAAGUCAGGAUAUUCUCCUCUAAACGAAGCUUGUAAGAUCUGUAUCCUCUUGUACAUCUGCAACCUCUUUAAGAGGAAAACCCAAAACAGCUGUGGGGAAAUAAGAAAAAUAAGAAAAUAAAGGCAUUCAAAAUAUAAGGACCUACUAAAAUUAAAUUCCUAAAUAGGAGUUUGUUGCCAUCAUUCUAUGCUCAACAAUUAAGCUGUAUUUUGCUUUCAGUUGCCCCGUUCUGUCCGAGUUACUCCAUGUGCAUAUAUAUGGAUAUAGAGAUGGAGAUUUCACCAUGGGAGGUUCUCUGUAUCACAUGGGACUUCCCAAACUGUGGAACGUGAUGUUUAAAUUUACAUGACAGACAACCUUCUCCUGAUUUUGGAUAGUACAAGCUUUUCUGGAUUACUUGCUCUAGACCAUGUGGCAUGAACAAAAACUAUCCCCUCAGCCUCAGCCCUGUCCCUUCAGCCCCAGGGGACCACUCUGUGGGACAGGUAUUGACCUUUCCUUGAGGUGGCCCCUAAGUAUUUCAGGGCAGAAGUUUUUUUGAAAUGUGCACUCAGGAUUUUUUCUCUGGUAUGCUCAGGCCUAUGGUUUUAAACUAUUUAAACUCCGGACGCUACUGGUGUUAGAGACAGAAGUUUCUGUGUGAUGAAGGGCAGAUUAUGAAUGUCAGCCAUUUGGACACAGCUUCUUUUUGAGAACAUGCAAUGAUUUAACUUCUGAGAUCUUUUACUGGGCUUGAAGAAGGGGCUAAUGCAGACCUAUAUUGGCGGCUAUGAGAAAGGCAGUGGUGGGAAGCGUAGCAAACAAAAUGUGACCAGAGAAGUUAAAACGACGUUUUGUUUUCAGAGAGUCUGAAGCACUGAAGACUUUUUGUAUCAAGUUUGUUACUUGUUCAGUCUUUAUUGAACUUUUCCAAAGAGUUGUCCCUUAUAUGUGUAUUUCAGUAAAAAAGAGAAAUGUUGCUUUGAUGUAGGUUUUGUUUCUUUGAGCAAAGAACAGGCCAUCCAGGUGCUCAACCCCUUCUAACAGGAAAACUUGAAUGAAGCAGUGAUCCUACCCAGCCUGUCCCUGGCAUUUUGUAGAGUUAAACUUCAUGCAUUCUUGCCAAAGCUCUGAUCAUUUUUGAAAUUGGCACAUAUAAAUGCAUACUGUACUCUCUGUGUUUUUUCCCACUGCUAUGUUGUCUGCUCACAAAAGGUUGUAAUUCUGUGUGCUUUUCUACAACUAGCGCUACUUUUUUUUUUCUUCACCUACACAUUCAAUUUUAGUGUGCCAUCUGCUUUCAACCUGCUUAAUGUUAUACUCCAGCUUUUAAUGACAGAAGAUAUCAAGUGCCAUGGUUCUUACUUUAUUGCAAAAGAUGGCAUGCAGACCUUCUUUAAAUGAUUCCAAAUCAUCUAAAGCCUCUGUUUGGAUGGUUUUCAAAGGCAGGCUAGGGUUGUCAAGCUUCUACUGCAGAGCUUGCGAGCACUUUUCACAGGUUAAUCUUUUUAAAGGCCUCUAUCUGAGGUUCUUUAGUUUCCUAAAGGCUCUUUUUUUUGCCUACUUCAAAGCUUUAUGUGAAAAUUACAUACAUCAUUGUCUUAAUUUGUCCUGACAGGUGCAAACUCUUGUUUGACCUAAAAUACAGAGAAAAAAUCAACCAAAGAAUCCCUACCUUAAAAAACGCAUUAAAUAAUUUUUGUCAUUUUUCUCCUCCAAACUGAGACUUCCUUUAAUACCUGAUGUUUAAAAAUCUUGAACCCUGAUUGUUUCUGGAAUCAAAAUAAUGUGGACCUUCAGCUCAGGAAUCUGAUCUUAAUUUUGAAAUGGAAUAGCUUCAAUAAGUACUUUAGUCACUUUGGGCUACUUUUUGGUUCCCUAGCUGUGGAAAUUGCAGCUUUUCUCUGGAGGCCAGCUUUCUGAGGAGCAGCGAAUAACCUCCAUGAGUGUCCUGCGUUUGUUAUCCACGAUGAAUACUUUCUCCAAUUCCCUGAUAUGUACAAGGCAGACUGCUGGCCAGGGGAGAAAGCACUGAACCUUUCCUUUAUCCAGUUUAGGGAUGUGUGUCAGAAGAGCCCAGCUUUGGUGGUGCCUGCUGUGUCCCCUGUGCUAGUCUAAACAAGAAGGCCAUAUACCCUCGCAAGCAGCAAUAAAAAAGAUUUUUUUCUGAGGCUUUCAUACAAACAGAAGGCUGAUUUUCUUGGCUGGAUUUCUGAAUAGAUGUUUUAUUUCCUUAGAUUUUGAACUGCGGUUUCUGCUUGCACAUAGGUCUAUUAAGGAUUUAGGAAAUCCCUGUGGGCACCAAUCUGCAUCUUUAAGCACUUUAAGUAUCUUUACAGUGUUGUUCUUCACUUAUCUAUGGGGAGAUAGCUCCUCAGCAGAAGUUAAAAUUCUUUCUAGAAAUACCUUUGCAGUACAGGAAAGAUAUUUUUCUCUAUGAAACUUGUAGAUUGGUUUUGCUAAUAUUCCCAAGCAAUUUCACAGCAAGGAUUAAAUUCUCAGUUAUACUUUGUACAUUUACCCAGGUAUCUAGUAGAAAUUUUUCUUUCUCUUUUUUUUUUAUUUUAUUUUUUGUUAGUAGAAAAGUCCACUUGGAAUGGAUAAAAUGACAUUAUUAAAUACCAGAAUGAAGAUCACUAGGGAAAUAAUCUAGCUGCUGUACUCUAAUGUUAACUCAGUGCUUCUAAAUAAUCAGUAAUCAGCAGCUUGAAUUAGACUGAGAUAGAUCGAGCUAAGUGCUUGACUAUUCAAAGUGAGUGCAAGAGAUCUGGGGAAAAGUUCAGUGCAGUCAGGGGAAAAAAAUGUACUGCAUUAAACAUGCAGGACUAAAGAAAUCAAGCUUCUAUUUUAUUUUAAGUAAACACAUUAUCUUUUGAUAUAUCUUGGUCUUUCUUCAUGUGAAUAAUGAAUCAUGCAGCACUUCAAGCCCUGAUUAAUAUUCUUAAUUGCUCUCCUUUUUUCGUUCUUGCAGCUGGCAGAUGGAAUGCUGCAGAUCAGACGGUGCCAUAUCAGUAGUGUUUGCACUGCCUGUGAACAAAUGGUGCUACAGCCUGCAUGUUUAUCCCCUUUGAUCCAUACACAACUGGAGCAAGGUGCAAUCAUCAGGACUAGCUUUUCUUAGUUUUUUCUUUUUUUAAUUUUUUUUUUUUACCUUUUUUCUCCUAUCUCUGCAGUAUUAACCAUGUUGGGAGCAGAUGAUAGAACACAGACAGUCAGCCUAUUUCUGUAAUGCCAAAUAGUUUUCAGCGAGGAAGUCUGGAAAUCAUAGGAGACCAACAUCCAGAAUGGAUGUCCACAUCUGUCCUCCCUAGAAAAGUAUAUGCUGAAGAAUUGCCUGUCUUCCACCAAGCUGGGCUAAAAAUUCCUUAAUGGGAGUGUCAUUGUUUCUGUGCUUUUCUGUCCACUGCUAAUUAAGAUGGAUAUACAAAGAAUCAAAAAAAAAAAAAAAAAAGCAUCAUAUUAGUAAGAAGCUCAGUGAUGAUUUCUAAUUAGCUGAAAAGUGAAUGAAGGUUCAAUUCUGUUUGCUGGAGGCAAAGAAUAAGUUCUCAAAAUGCAAUAAUCCUAAUUACUUUAGAAAUUUUAAGCUAUUCAGAUCUUUAUAUUUCUUGAAUUAGUGGUUAUCAAAUUACUUUCAGGUAAAAGAAUUACUUUUCUCACUAAAUGCCAACUCUAUUUUGAUAGUCAAAGCAAAACCUUCCUGCUUUGUCAUGUCUGUUAGCAAAAACCAGUCAAUGAAGAGUGACCAUUUUAUAACAUGCAUGUUGGUUUCUUGAUGCUAAAAUUAGAUGACAUUUUAUGUGGUCAGCAUUGCUAUCAUAAUCUAUGCUUUUGCAAUGAAAAUAUUUUAACCUAAGAUAUUAUGCUAUGCAUGAGUCCCUUAGUUUUGGACACAGAAGGGUUUGUGUGUUUUUCAGUCAGUUUUUUAAGAGGAUAUGUGUUUUCUCAUGUAUCAUGUAAGACUUAUAAAUGCACCAAAGGAACCAGAGACUGAUCAACAUAUCAGAAAGUGAUUGCCUAUGAUUAAGGAUUCUAUUUUCCAUAUUCUUCUUCUUGGAAGAAUAUAGGUAAUGAAUCAAAUGACCUCCUGUGAUUGCUUGGAUAUGAUUGUUUAAAAAAAUUAGGAAAAAAGUACAGUAUCACAGAUUAUGAAACCAGCACACAGAACUGCAGCAAAGCCCCCGAGCUCACACAUCAUAAUCCCUCAUCAGCUAUUUCUCUGAAAUAUUUUGGGACUUUGGCAUUAAAAGGACUCAGUGAUUAUAACCAUGUCGUCAGCUUGAAGGAAUUCAGAGGAAGGUGUAUUGGAGAGCACCCAGAGAAAAUAAUAGAUGUGAGGCUAUAAGAUGUCCAUUUAAUUGUCAGAAAUAGUCUGAACAUGUUUGUAUUUAGGACUGCAUCAGUGCCACCCUGGCUGCAGCCACAGGUGACAAUGAAAGCAAAGCAAACUCACUAAAUAAUUUCUAUAAUAAGGUGAUUGUCUAAACAGGUUCUCACAUCAUCAUACUUACUUAUGAAACUUUCCAUUUCCUGUAUAUAGUUUCAUCUUCUUUGGAUUGCAAUAAUUUCUCAGUCAUGUUAUCAUUCUCACUAUUAAUAGCUGAAGGCUCUUCUGUAAGCCCCAAGUGUCUGGUUACAAUCUCCUGGAUGUGUCAAUUGUUCUCUACAUUGUUGAUGUUAUCACUGAGUUUAUAUUUUUGUUGCAGUAUUUGUCACAAGGCUAAAUUCUCAUUGUUGCUGCAUAGGUGUUGUGAAAUGCUUUAUGCAUUCUUCUCUAGAAACCAGAGAAUUGUGGGGUUACAUGCUGCACCAGCACGUUUCUUAUUUUCAACAAAACUAUCUCAUCCUUUUAUUUUUUGCUCCAGUGUCUAAAAUAAAAAUAAUAAUUAAAUAAAAUAUGUUGAGGUGUUUCAUGUACCUAGGGGUGUAAAAAUGCAUCAUUUUGAUUUGAUUUACCACUCUGAUAUACAAAAAGGCCAAUUUUCCCUCUGGCAACAUGUGACAGUUCUAACACCAUUUGCAUUCCAGGCAGGUUCCAAGCCAAAACCAGAGUUGUAUUAGAGAAUUUUUCUGAUACAAAUUUGCUCAGGUCUUGCAGGAUGCCAAAUCAACAAGCCUAACAUUUGCAAACCAGUUUUUUUCCCCCUCCUUCCACACAAUCCAUCACUGUUUUUCUUCAGCAUCUGAACUCGUGGUGAACUGUCUGUUCUAAUAGGCUUCAUCUUCAUUACAGGAUAAUAUAAUGUGUAAGUGUAAAUCGGUAAUGAGAUGUUAGUGCUCUUGGAGAGUGAUUUAUGAGGAGGAAGCUAAAUUCUACUUAAACAAAUACACUUCGUUUUGAAUGCUGACAGAAGAUGAGUAGAGCAUCUCAUUCCUUAUAUCUUUAAGAAAUGGUUUCCUAAUGAAAUCAGAUACUUCAAAUAUCUAGAUCUCUAGCUCAAGACUUAUUUGACAUUUCAUUAUCAUAUGAAUCAUAUUUUUAGCUGGGCACGUUUAGACAUAAAACUUGGGUACUAAGUACUGUGUGAAAAAUUGACUAGGGGAAUUAUAAAGAUUCUAAUAUCUCAGCAUUUUCUUUGCUUUUAUUGAUCAUUGCAAUCUAGCUGAUGUGUCAGCAGCCAAAAAACAUUCUAAGUAAGUUGAUAUAUUAAAAAUGAUACAACCUCACAUCUAGAUUUAUAUUAGAUGCAAUCAGGUGACACACAAGUGUGAUCUACUUUGUGACUUUCAAAAUUUGUUAUGUCAAAAUCAAAGGAAAUUAGACUGAAUAAUAUUCAUAUUUUAGUGCUAGUUGUGCUUAUUUAUUCCGGCAUUUACUGUGAUAUGGUCCCUAACAUUUAUUCUGAAUGAAAGCCCAGAGAAUUAUAACUGCCCUAAAAAAUGUAGUUUUCCAGCAGAAAAUUGUUUGUGUUUAAGUAUAGUUAGUAUAUUCAUAGUUGUUACAAAAUUGUUGCAUCAUCCUUGUUAUCACAUUCAGGUUUUGUACAGAUUUUAUUGAAUUAUAUCCUGAAUAAUACAGAGGAAAAUUGCUGUUAAAAACAGGACAAUUUUUGUUGGGAUUUUUUUUAAAGUUGCCUACUUUGGAUUUAUCUGAAACCUGGUGUUUCAUGUAAUAGUCUGGGUGCGUGCUUGGUUGAAACAAUGCCAUCUCAUGGUACCUAAAUUAUAUAUGCUAAAAAUCACAUAAUUUUCUUGUUGUUAAAAAUGUAUAUGAUAGGUGAAACUUAAGUAAAAAAAAAAAAAGAAAGAAAAGAAAAAAGGACUGAAGAUUUCAAAGUGUUGUUAAACAAAGAGG